CCUUUCUGCUUGGUCUCUCUGGGGUCGCCUUCCUGGAGCACUGCGGUUAUUGAUCCCGCUGAAAGAGCCGGAACGCGGAGCCUGCUUCCCUUGGGAUGAAGGGAGUGAGGAGGAGAGUAGGCAAGGGGUUGGGGAAGGGAGUUGAUAAACUUUAGGGGAGGACGUAGGGCUAAGAUAGCUCUCCAGGGCCUCCC
rnacentral:lncRNA from 1 species